rnacentral:lncRNA from 1 species
CUGCUGGAUGAGAAGCCUAGCUGUCCUCCAUGGUGGAGAUCAGCCUCUGAGUAUGUGAGGAAGGACUGAAAGCCAGAGACACAGUUAUUCAAGCAACUGAGGAUCAAAACCAAGGGUGUGCUGAUGAGAGACAGCCAGGAGAGAAAAUGAUGGAGAGACAGAGAGAAGACUGUCAAUGGGACUUCUGUGUAGCAGUGCAUUUUUUGCUUCCUCAGCCCAACUAAUCCACUCUACUUUGCUGCAUGACAUGUGGUCAUCCAUCUAGUUUGAAGACAAUCUAGUCUCAGUUGAAGGGAUGCCCAUUAAUUGGAGAAUGGCUGAACAAGUUGUGGUAUAUAAUUGUGAUGGACUACUAUCGGACUCUAUGAAAUGAUGAGUAGGAUGCUUUCAGAAAAUCCUAGAAAGACUCAUGUGAACUGAUGCAAAGUGAAGUGGGAAGAACCAGGACAUUGUACACAGUAAUAACAAUAUUGUAUGA